rnacentral:rRNA from 1 species
GAUAACAAUUAGAAAUAAAUUGCUAAAACUCUAUAUGUUUGGAAACAAUGAAAAAAGAAAUUUGCCUAAGGAGAAGCUCACAUUUGAUUAGCUAGUUGGUAGGGUAAGAGCCUACCAAGGCGACGAUCAAUAGUUGGUCUGAGAGGACGAUCAGCCACACUGGAACUGAGACACGGUCCAGACUCCUACGGGAGGCAGCAGUGAGGAAUAUUCCGCAAUGGGCGAAAGCCUGACGGAGCAACGCCGCGUGAGGGAUGAAGGCCUACGGGUUGUAAACCUCUUUUUCCAAGGAGGAAGAUCUGACGUUACUUGGAGAAUAAGCAUCGGCUAACCCUGUGCCAGCAGCCGCGGUAAUACAG